UGAACUAACCCUUUAAAAUAUCUUCUUUAGUGUUCAACAGAAAAAAGAAACUCAUAGGUUUGAAACAACUUUAGGGUAAGUAAGUGAUGCCAGAAUUUUCAUUUUUUGAUGAACUAUCCAUUUAAUAAUCAUAUUAAGCCAUUUUGCGAUUCCUGUUUUUUUGUCUUCAAAAUGUAGACCUCUUGAAAAGAUAAUUAAGGCUUUUUAAGACUUUUUAUCGACUUAAAUUGAAUAAAACUGAAUUUAUGGGCCCUGGCUUACCAAACAUGCACAUCUUGAGCCUGGUGUCACUAAAUGUAGUUUUUCGUUUAUGCUGAUCUUUCAGUCUCUUCACUGCCCAGUUAAUCUGAGAGGCCAGCUCAUUGGUUAGAGUACAGGCCAGCAUGCUUCUAAUGCGUGCCUCAACUGAUGCUGCUCCCAGAAUAGCAAAACGGCCAACCUAUAAGGGUGUUAGGGACAUCUUAGCACAGAACAUUGAUAGGUUACAAAAAAUGCCAUUGGAAAAUAUUUUUCCUGCUGGCUGAACUAGUAUCCAAAGUGAAAGAACUCUGUCUAGAGGUCCAGGGUUUCAUGAGACAGCUACCAGUCUCUCCUCAUUACUUCUCUCGCUCCAUUUAAAAGAUCUGACAGAGUUAGAAGAAGCAGAGUUGGCUGUUCCAAUGCACAAAUAAAAUGUUCUUUGAAAUAGACACAAGGGAAUACAAAGUGGGGUGGAAUCAUGUUCCCCAGGGCAUUGAUGGCACAAGCAAGGGUCACAAGUGUCCCUGUCUCUGCUGAUGUGGAUGACCCAACCUGUCUACCACCGCAUCUGGCAAAAAUAACGUCUGGGUUUGGGACAGUCGUAACCCCAGUUUCAAACCAGUUAGGUUGUGGGCUCCGUACAGAAAUACAGGGCUGACUCUUCAUAAAAGCCAUAAAACAGUCUCGGGUGGCCAUGGAAUUAUCAUUCCAGGUUUCAGGAUAAUUACAGUGGUAACGCACAGCCAGCUGAAAUGCAAAUCAACGAACCUGAAACCUGCUUCUAGUUCUAUCUAUUUUUACCACAACCAGGGGGAGUACCCUGGGUUCGGGCCAAAAUUCUGAGCUUGGAGCCCUCCCCCCAGGACAGCAUGCCAAAUACGCUUAACCUUUACUCUGUUUAAUUAUAUGUAAAUAUGAACUCAUGAACAUUUAAAAUGUUUGUUUUGAUUGACAUUGUUAUAUUGUAUAUUUGAUUGUUCUUUCUGCAAGUACGUACAUAUACUUUUUCAUUGAAAUGUCAAGAUAACAAAAUUGGCCUUUGUUAGAAUAACUUACAAGAAGUAACACAGAAGUAACACAGGAAUAACUGACGACGGGCCAUUGAAUUCUUAGAAGAUAAUGCACACCCGAGGUGGUAAUGCGGCCACGACACGAAGCAGAGUUCGAAUUUCCGGUCAAUUAUUCCGCUUAUACUACAGUUACCACACCUCAAGACACUGUUUCGAUGGGGUAUUUCAAGACAUUUGUCAGGUUUUUGUCCUUAAAACACUCUUAUGUGUGGGACUAAUUUCUUACGCAUCUCAUCCCAAGCCUCCGUUGCUAAUUCCAAAAUGUAAUUUCAGAACUAGUAACGGAGGCUUGAGCCUUGACAGCAGAAUAAUACCGUUGAUACAGUUAUUAACGCACUUAUUAACGGAGAGAGAGAGAGCAUAUGUGAAUUAGCCUACCGGAGCGUAAAUAAGUUUAUCUACCUCAAGAAUCGCACAGUUAUUACCUCGCUGGUGAAUCAUUUUACUGAUUCAUUCGUCAGAGCAGCGCUGACAAAACGUUUCUGUGCGAGUGUGUCUGUAUGUUUUACAGUGUGAGUGUACAUUUGAAAGAGAGAGAGGAUGCGCUUUCAGGACACAAUAAAACGUAUUUUGUUGAAAAAACCAUGACGCUAAUUUGUCGUUUUCAUCCUAUAGUUUACUAUAUUUAUUUGCUUGGUCGGUGUCGUUGUGGGUUUUGUUUCUUUUGCUGUUAUAGACUGUAAGGACCUUUUGAAAUAACUAAAAUCAUUUGGCGAAGUGAUAUGGAGCUGUAAUGCGGUCAAGACCUGCCUAGAACUACUUUAGCUGUGCGUUUCCCUGAAAAUAACUGCACACCUUAGAACGUUAUUCGAGCAUUCAACAGCCCUGUAAUAUAAGUAACUUAGGAAAGAGCACUUAGUUAAAAAAAUAAAGGUAAUUUUUAAAACUAUGGUUGGCAAGUGUCUACAUUAUGUAUUGGUUUUUGAACACACCAUCUACAUUAUCUCUAUUGACAGUCUUAGUGGAACAAAACCCUGAUACUGUCCAUAGGGAUCAGGGAAACAAUCACGUAUUGUCCACACGCAGCAGCUGGGAAUGUCCACCCUGUCAUAGUGCCCCAUAUUGCCAAACAACAAAUUGACAGUAAGCAGCAUAAUGGAACUGUCUGUUGCUCUCCCCAGGCUCCACAGCGUCAGGAACAGCUCCGAUAUCAGUCCAGAUAUGUCUGGCUAAGUGUAGUACCCUCUCUUGUAGAAUAUAGGCCUCCAUAUGGGGAAGUCUGGAGAUGCAGUGCUGCUGCACUUGUUGCCCACAACACUUACGUUCUAAGUCAGAUGGCAUCUCUCUGCAGUCACUGGAGACCAAGUAUGCUGACUAGAUGGAGGAGAAUCUGAAGCUAUAAAUUGCAUGAUGUCAAACAUCUGACUGGGGUCCUGGGUAAGACAAAUCCCCAGAAUAUGACAACACUGUUCUAAACUCAGUCAUCGAACUCUGCCCUGUGGGGCAAAACAUGAUUUAAAAUCAUUUAUAUCGUUUUUAAUAAACACACACCACAUCUGAAGUUAAAAUCUUCAGUUUAUUAUAAUGGACUACCUAGGCCCUUCUCAUUAAGCUUUCCCUUCCCCCAACUGCACUCCCAAAAAAUAAAGCCAUUAUUAAAAAAUAGUCUGCAAAAUCUGUCCCAAGCAGACUAAACAACAUAUUUAUGCCUGUCCAAAACAUGUAUUAAGCUCCAAUGAACAGUAUCCUUUUGAACUUUUUUUAGAGCAGUUGCUUCAAACUCUCUUGCAUGUUUUCCAAACUUUGUUCGAAAACUGCUAACUCCUCAAUCCUUGCUCCUUCGCAGUGUAGUAUGAGAUCUCUCUGCAGGACUUCAUCCAGUGGGUGUUCAGCCAUUGCAUCCUGGACCAUGUGCAGUGCUACCACAGAACUCUCUUUAAGGUUUUCAAUAAGCAUACCUUUGAUGAAAGAGUAUUCUUGUUCCACUGCCCCUUGUUCAUGAGACAGUGUGAGCAGAUGUUUAGUUUCUCGAUUGCUUAAACACAUUUCUUGAAAUUGUACUCCUUUUCUCGACAAAUCCAUAAGUACACAAAUGCUCCUCACAGGUGCAUACACUAAUUGCUUAACUGAUCACUAACCAAUCACUGCUUUACUGCAGUAUAGGCCUAUAAAUAGAUCAAAGGUCAGAUUACCUGUUUUGAACAAUGGAUGCCAACAAUGGACAGAGAGCAAGAGGAGUAGGAGGAAGAGGAAGAAGAGGACAAGGGCAAAGAAGACAAGGAAGGAGAGCCAUCUCUGAUGAGAUUAGGGCAACACUUGUUGAUCAUGUGAUUAACCACGGUUUGACCAUGAGAGAGGCUGGACUGAGAAUCCAGCCCAACUUGAGUCGAUUUACAGUGGCAGAAAUGAGAACAGAGUGGAAAGGCAAAGACAUCAUGGAGGACGAGGACGCUUGUUUACAGAUGUACAAGAGACUGCAAUUAUAAAUAUAUAAGAGAGAUAAGAGAGCAUAUCUUGAAUAAAGACACCAUAUUUAACAACAUGAAUGCUGUAAGCCUGUUGACCCUACAACGCAUCCUCCAGCGGCACCAAGUGACGAUGAAACAACUUUACAAGAGAGUAUUGGAGAUGGAUGCCCAUGUAAUUCGCCAUGAAUUUAUUUAUGUGGAUGAGGUUGGCUUCAACCUCACCAAAACCAGGAAGAAAUGUAAUAGGACAGAGGGCAAUUACCAAUGUCCCUGGACAGCGUGGGUGUAAUAUAACUAUGUGAGCUGCCAUCACUCAAAACGGGGUCCUCCAUCACAAUGCCGCACUGGGUCCGUACAACACCGGCCAUAUGCUCACUUUUCUUGAUGCAAUUUACAGAAUGCUUGUCCCUGAUUCAGAUCAGGAGCCUGCUAGAUUUGUGGUUACAUGGGACAAUGUUCGUUUUCACCGGGCUGUUCUGGUCCAAAACUGGUUUGCCACCCAUCCACAAUUUGUAGUUUUGUACCUACCCCCAUAUUCACCUUUUCUAAAUCUGAUUCUUCUCAGCCUGGCACUGGAAAGUGUAUGAUCGCCAACCCUAUGCCCGCAUACCACUUCUCCAGGCAAUGGAGGACACAUGUGGGGACAUAGCCUCUGUCCAAGGUUGGAUAUGCCAUGCUAGGAGAUACUUCCCUUGAUGUUUGCCAAGAGAAAACGUAUCUUGUGAUGUGGACGAAGUAUUGUGGCCAGACCCAGCCCGGAGAAGAGAUGAAGCGUAGCUUUGCACUGGUGACUGUCCACCCCCCACCAAUUCCUGGACUGCUCCCCCGGGACCCCCCCACACACAAUUGUGUUCUUUACUGUAUUUUAAAGAAUAUACUUUUGGUUUACAUAUGUUUAUGAUUUUGUUGUAUGCUACUCUAUAACAGUAAUGUUUGGCCUAAUAAAUAUUUUCUGUUUCUACAUUGCAUUGGU